rnacentral:rRNA from 1 species
UGCAUUAUCCAAAGCGGAGGAAAAGAAACUAACAAGGAUUCCCCUAGUAACUGCGAGUGAAGCGGGAAAAGCUCAAAUUUAAAAUCUGGCGGCUUUGGUCGUCCGAGUUGUAUUCUAGAGAAGUGUUUUCCGCGUUGGACCGUGUAUAAGUCUCUUGGAAUAGAGCGUCAUAGAGGGUGAGAAUCCCGUCUUUGACACGGACUACCAAUGCUUUGUGAUACACUCUCAAAGAGUCGAGUUGUUUGGGAAUGCAGCUCAAAAUGGGUGGUAAAUUCCAUCUAAAGCUAAAUAUUGGCGAGAGACCGAUAGCGAACAAGUACCGUGAGGGAAAGAUGAAAAGCACUUUGGAAAGAGAGUUAAACAGUACGUGAAAUUGCUGAAAGGGAAACGCUUGAAGUCAGUCGCGUUAGCUAGAACUCAACCAGGCUUGCUUGGCGUAUUUUCUAGUUAACGGGCCAGCAUCAGUUUUGACCGCAGGAAAAGGGCCAGGGAAAUGUGGCAUCUUCGGAUGUGUUAUAGUCUCUGGUCGUAUACUGUGAUUGGGACUGAGGACCGCAGCACGCGCAAGCUGUGCUUAGGAUGCUGGCGUAAUGGCUUUAAACGACCCGUCUUGA